rnacentral:rRNA from 1 species
CCUACGGGUGGCUGCAGUAACGAAUCUUCCGCAAUGGGCGCAAGCCUGACGGAGCAAUGCCGCGUGUGGGAUGAAGCAUCUCUGGUGUGUAAACCACUGUCAGGGGACGGAACCAAUGAUUGUCCCCAGAGGAAGUGGCGACUAACUCUGUGCCAGCAGUCGCGGUAAUACAGAGGCCACAAGCAUUAGUCGGAAUCACUGGGCUUAAAGGGUCCGCAGGCGGUCCUCCAAGCGUCUUGUGAAAUCCCACGGCUCAACCGUGGAACAGCAGGGCG